GAUGAAGAACGUAGCGAAAUGCGAUAAGUAAUGUGAAUUGCGGAAUUCAGUGAAUCAUCGAAUCUUUGAACGCACCUUGCGCCCCUUGGUUAUUCCAAAGGGCAUGCCUGUUUGAGUAUCAUGAACACCUCAACUCUUGUGGUUUCCCACAAUGAGCUUGGACUGUGGAGGUUUUGUUGGCCCUGUGGUCAGCUCCUCUCAAAUGGAUCAGCUUACCGGUGUUUGGUGGCAUUACGGGUGUGAUAACUAUCUACGCUCGUGGUCGUCUCCAAAUAACCUCCAGUGAUGGAGGUUCGCUGGAGCUUAUAAAUGUCUCUCCCAGUGAAGACAGCCUUUGAACGUUCGAUCUCAAAUCAGGUAGGACUACCCGCUGAACUUAAGCAUAUCAAUAAGCGGAGGA
rnacentral:misc_RNA from 1 species